UUCGGACGAAAAGGACUGGAUAAGUGGCCCGCUGCCAAGACCGCAUUGGAUCUCCUGCAGAACUGUCAACAACACCCCGAUCACCGCAUUGAGCGAUUCUGUGAUCACAUGAAGCUAUGUUGUGUUUUGUGUCACCUUUACGAUCAUAACUCUUUGGGCGAACAGAUGGGUAUUUCUUCUCUGAAAAAAAAAUAGUGACAAAACACUUGGUGUCAUACACGAAUACAACCAGACGUAUGAUGUAAUGUUUAUAAUGAGAGGAACCAAUGAAGACGAUCUUUUUAAACUGGCUAAGAAGAUAACGAGCGAUUUUGGGGUUCUGAAAAAUAAGAUUCCAGAAGAAAACAAACGCAAACCAAAGAGGAAAAUAAUGGAUGACUUUGUUGAGUCAGAGGAAC